UUUGAUCCUGGCUCAGGAUGAACGCUAGCGGCAGGCCUAAUACAUGCAAGUCGAACGGUGAUAUUUAUAUCAUAGUGGCGCACGGGUGCGUAACACGUAUGCAACCUACCUAUUAUUGGGGGAUAGCCUUUGGAAACGGAGAUUAAUACCGCAUAAUACGAUUAACUGGCAUCGGUUGAUUGUUAAAGCAUUUGCGAUAAUAGAUGGGCAUGCGUCCAAUUAGUUAGUUGGUGUGGUAAUGGCUCACCAAGACGAUGAUUGGUAGGGGAUCUGAGAGGAUAAUCCCCCACACUGGCACUGAGAUACGGGCCAGACUCCUACGGGAGGCAGCAGUAGGGAAUAUUGGGCAAUGGGCGAAAGCCUGACCCAGCCAUGCCGCGUGCAGGAAGACGGCGUUAUGCGUUGUAAACUGCUUUUUUAUAGGAAGAAGGAUCCCUUGCGAGGGAAGGUGACGGUACUAUAAGAAUAAGCACCGGCUAGCUCCGUGCCAGCAGCCGCGGUAAUACGGAGGGUGCAAGCGUUGUCCGGAUUUAUUGGGUUUAAAGGGUGCGUA
rnacentral:rRNA from 1 species